rnacentral:other from 2 species
GUUCUACUGCAACGUUGGUGACUGCCAAUAAUGUUUUAUGAUCUAUGCUUUUUGAAUAAGGGAGCCGAAGAGUUCCAGUGGCAGUAGACCGGGCUUGUACUCGGAAACUUUAAACUGGGCGAGUAGUUCCCACCUGGUUUAUACCAGGUCAAAAACUGAGGUAAGACGGCGUUGCGGGGAACU